rnacentral:snoRNA from 1 species
AGGCAGCCUCCUUAGUGUGGUGUUAACUUUUUCUUAAAUUGAAAUUAGGAUCUUCAGAUAUUGUUGAUUGUUAACUUGAAAUUGGUCUAAUAAGCCCAACUACAAU